GUGCUUACUUCGGCAGCACAUAUACUAAAAUUGGAAUGAUACAGAGAAGAUUAGCACGGCCCCUGUGCAAGAUGACACGCAAAUUCGUGAAGUGUCCCAUAUUUUU
rnacentral:snRNA from 1 species